AAAAAAAAGUAAAUCAUAUAAGACACUAAAGUAUUUGUUGCUAAAAUAUGUUAUACACAUUCUAAAGGCUUUUUAAUUUUAAAAGACAACUUCAUUGGGGAGGAUAGGCUUGAACUGGGUUUUGUGGGAAUAGAAGAAUUUACACAGAUCCAGGGAGGAGAGGAAUACAUUCUAGGCAAGGAUGGGGGGAUCUGGCAAUUAAGAGAUCAAAAAAUUCUAGAUCCAAGGCUGAAAGGGAUAUCAGACGUCAUCUAUUUCAAGCUACUUCUUUUACAAAUGAUGAUAUAUGGAGACUUAGAUCAAGUGACUUGCUUAACAUCACACAGGAUAUAAUUGUCAAAGAUGAGAUUUGAAUCUAGAUCUAUUGAUUCUGGGGGAUGGUGGUGUCAUUAAUGCAUUUAUGAUGGUCUUAAUUUAUUAGAGGCGUUGUAUAGAGGCAGCCAAGAGGGCCUGGAAUCAGGACGAUUUGAGUUCUUAUUCUACCUUAAAUAAUUAUUAGCUGCGUGACUCUGGGUCACUUGACCCCUGUCUGCCUUAGUUUCUUCAGUUAUCAAAUGGGAAUUAAUAGUGGCACUUAUCUCAUAGGGUUGUUGUGAGGAACAUGAGAGUUUUGUAAAAAGCACUUAUUACUACCCUGGCAUAUGGUAACUACUAUAUAAAUGCUUACUACCUUCCUCCCCAUUAUAAUCAUCACAGCUUACCAAAUGUAGAUUUUUUUUUAAAAUAACUUUUUAUUGAUAGAACACGUGCCAGGGUAAUUUUUUACAGCAUUAUCCCUUGCAUUCACUUCUGUUCCGAUUUUUCCCCUCCCUCCCUCCACCCCUUCCCCCAGAUGGCAAGAGUCCUUUACAUGUUGAAUGGGUUACAGUAUAUCCUAGAUACAAUAUAUGUGUGCAGAACCGAACAGUUUUCUUGUUGCACAGGGAGAAUUGAAUUCAGAAGGUAUAAAUAACCCGGGAAGAAAAACAAAAAUGCAAGCAAUUUAUAUUCAUUUCCCAGUGUUCUUUCUCUGGGUGUAGCUGCUUCUGUCUAUCUUUGAUCAAUUAAAGCUCUCUUUAUCGAACAGAUCCACUUCCAUCAGAAUACGUCCUCAAACAGUAUUGUUGUUGAGGUAUAUAAUGAUCUCCUGGUUCUGCUCAUUUCACUUAGCAUCAGUUCAUGUAAGUCUCUCCAGUCCUCUCUGUAUUCAUCCUGCUGGUCAUUCCUUACAGAGCAAUAAUAUUCCAUAAUAUUCAUAUACCACAAUUUACUCAACCAUUCUCCAAUUGAUGGACAUCCUUUCAUUUUCCAGCUUCUAGCCACUACAAACAGGGCUGCCACAAACAUUUUGGCACAUACAGGUGAGGGAAGCAUUUUCAAGAGAUUUGGCAAAGGUGAAAUUGACAGGCCUUGGCAACAUCUUGGAUAUAGGAGAUAGUGAAGAUUCCACAAUAAGUCUUAGGUUGCAAGCCUGGAGGAUUGGGAGAAUAGAGUUGCUAUUUAUUAUCUAGUAAUAGGGAGGUUAAAAUGGGACAAUCUAUUGGAGGAGAUAGAAUGGAAUAGAGUUGCUUGAAUAGGUUUGAAUAAAUUACCCUUGUUAAGGAGUAAAGCCAGGGAAGAUUCUGGGAAGAUGGCAGAGGAUGUCAGAAAAUUCCAAGGCCUCCAGAUUUCUCCCACAAACAAUAGAAGCUGUGCCUCGAGGAGAAUAUAGAGCAGUUAAAAAUAAAUAGGAAUGGGGCAGAACAGGGAUCCUUGUAGGACAACUGGAGAAGAUCUGAAGAAAGACUGCAGGAGAGAGUUUUGGCCCCUAUGAAGUGUGAGUACCUUCAGGCUUGUCCCACAGAAACAACAAGUAGGGAACCCUGGGUUAGGAGGUAGCCUCAGCCCUAACCCCAGAAACAUUUACUUCCCAGACAUUGUAGGAAGUCAGGUAUCUUGAGUCAGAGAAGAUUAAAGGAACAUCUGCUGAUAAGGAACGCCAGACCCAUAGCCUUGUGCAAGAAGGAACCAGCACAUACCUGGUGACUGAGCAAACAGUGAGGCGGGCUGUAGACAUUUAUAGGAGGGUAGAGUUCUUGAUUUUGGUCUCUAGGACAGAAAGGAGAACUAAAGGAGGACCUGAGGCCAGAGGCACCAUCCCCUGCCCCCCACAGAAAAAAGGUGAUUACGUUAACAAACUCUUAUUUUAAACAAAAGGAUAAAGAAUCCAACAAUAAAAAGUUAUUAUGUAACUAGAGAAGAUUGAGGUUCAUCUUCAGAGGAAGGAUACUGAAGUUUAAAAAAAAAAAAAGCCUCUUCUACUCCAAAAAGCCUAAAGUUAAGUGGUUACUUGUUCCCCAAAAAAAAUUCAUAGAAGAACUCGAAAAAGAUUUUAAAAAUCAAAUGAGAGAGAUUGAGUAAAAACUAAAAAAGAAAAAAAAUAAGAACAAUCCAAGAAAAAGAAGAUUAUGAAAAGAAAAUCAUCCACCCUAAAAAAGAAAUCCAGAUCUAGAUGCUUAAGGAAUAAAAUGAUUCUUUGAAAAUUAGAAUUGGAAAGGAGAAGAUAGUGAAGUUGUAAGCGCUCAUGAAAUAAAACAAAAUGUAAAGAAUGAAAAAAUAGAAGAGACUGUGAGACAUCUUGUAAGAAAAACAACAGAUCUAGAGAACAAAUCAAGAAGAGAAAACAAAAAUAAUUGGAUAACCUGAAAGGUAUGGCCAAAAAAAAAUUAUACAGUAAUAUAAGAAAUAAAGAAAAUUGUUCUAAAGUAUUAGAACAAAAAGAGGAAGUAGAAAUAGAAAAAAAAGAAAUCCACUUAUAACCCACCUGAAAGAGAUUCAUUGCUAAAUUUUGAAACUCCUAGAUCAAAGUAAAAAUUUUACAUGCAAAAAAAAAAAAA